GGAAGUCAAAUUUUUUUCAGGGUUUGAGGCCGAUCCUGUUAAAGAAUAACUGUGACAUCAGGGAGAAGUAUCUACUGGGGAAAAUACUCUGCAGGUUUUUGUGCUUUGUCUCAUCCAUACAACUUUGCAUUUGGACGAAAAGAGAUGUAAAUUGAUUCUGUUCUCACCUGGUAGCACUCCUGAUGCUAAUUGGGAAAGUGAUAAAAAUUGAUAUGUUGUAUGGACAAGUAGGGGCUGGAAUCUUCAGUUCACCAGUCCUGAGAGAUGCCGAGCAGUCACAUCUUCUGAUUGAGGUGGCAAUGGAGAGAACUGAACUUCUGGAGAAUCAAAUCACUCUACAGAGCAGAUCUUUGACAUUACGCCUUGCAAAAGUUACUAGGAGGCCUCUUAGACCUCAUGCUUUGGCUUUGGAUAUGGUUUGCCAUGUGGACAAUUGCCUUGGGCAGAAGCUGCUGGAACCUCCAUUCUCUCUUGCAACAAAUGGCUUUUUAAUCGUAUCUUCAGCUCAGUCAUAAACACAUCUUGCCCAUGUGGCGGUGUGAAUAUAGUCUCCAGAUGUUUGAAAAUGAAAUUCUCUAUAGAUGGGAACUGUCUAUGCACAAGCUUCAAAAAAUCAUUAAAAUAUAUGCUAAAAGACUCUACAGAAUAGAAUUUUCACAGACAUGGUGCCAGGCCUGGCCUGGCCUGGCUCUGGCUCUUCUUCAAGUUGAUGCAGAAAACCUAUUGCUUUCUUAUGAUCUUUUUUUUUUUUUUUUUUCUUUGUUAAAUAUACAAAAGAGCCAAAUGACCAAAAAUGUUAUAAACACAUUAAAACUGGUUUAGUAAAGAGGGUUAGACCCCACACAGAGAAUUUUCUGUAAGUAAAU